GGGGCCCUCUGCGGCAGUGCCUCAGUGUUGGGCAACGGACCCUUUCUCCCCGCGAUCAUCGCGGAGUCCUGCGAUUUUAGGAAUCUGGCAGGCUGAACCAGGACAAAAGAAGAUCUGGCGGGGCUUCAGGGAUGUCCACGGCGAUGCGCAAUUAUCCCCACGAUCCUUCAGGCCGGCCCAGAUAGCGUGGAGGUGCCUCUCACUGAGAGCCCCCCAGCUGGAUUUCCAGGUCCGGCUUGCCUGUCUGUGGCGGGUCUGCUCUGUCCCCUAGGUGCUUCCCGGCACAGAGCAGAACCCCGGAGCCUCAGGAGCUGCCUGGCAGGAGAACUAGAGGAGGAAAACAUUGCUUUUUUCCUGAGGAAGAAAACAGGUGGUUGGAAAAAGGUAAGUAUUUUACACAGUGUUAAGUUUGAGAAAUCUUUUUACCUAAAACUGUUUCCAUCAUAUCCAGGUUUUGAUUGGUUUUAUUUCAUUUUUUUAUCCCUUGUGUGUCUGCAAAGAGCUCCGAGAGAGAAGACAAUGGCAGUAUGUGUUGCCAAAGAAGGCCAAGAUUAAAAGUUGAAGAACUGAAUAUGCAACUUUCCAAGGAACUUGGAGACAAGAAAAACCUUGUCAGGUAAGUUGGUUGCUAAAACAUUGUCCUUUGGAAUUAACCGUCAAUGUUUAUUAUAUUCUCACCACAGAAAGACAUGUGAAAAUAAUUGCAAGAUAAGACCUUUCUUAAAACAUUCUUUAGUGGAAACAGUAUCUCACAAACAAAUUUCAUCCACUAAUUAAGCUCUCACGGAUGGUUAUACUCUGGAUAUAUAUGUAAAUAAGAGUGAAAAUCUGACACAGAGAAUUGCUUUUUUCUGGAGAAGAGAUGUUGACAACAGUCUCUCUUUAGAGGCCAAAAAAGCAAUUUGAUCUAAAUACUCUGUACUAAGAUUAUGAUGUUUUACGUCAAAAUAAUAAAGUUUCCAAGCUCACUUACCCUGUUCUAAAGGUUGAAAUUUGGGUUAAAUGCUUCUCUCUGGUGAAAUAAAGAAAGGUAAAUGGAUGGCCCAGGAAG
rnacentral:lncRNA from 1 species